GUACUGAAAAGGAAUACGAGAAAUAAUUAAUAAGGCUUUAACUAAUAACCCAAAGGUAAACUCUAUUUCCUUUUGCAUAAUGAUUUAAUUAGGGCACUUGCUAGCCUCUAGCUUAAUUAGUGUUAGUAAUCCCGAAACUAAACGAUUUAUUCUAGUCCUAGUAAAUUAAUGACUUAACUAAUCUAUGUUGCAAUAUAGUUAGAUGAGGCUAGAAUGGGGGUGACAUGCUAAUCGCGUUUAGUUCUAGCUGGUUAUUCAAGAAAUGAAUAAGAGUUCAGCUUUGUAGUAUUACCAAGUGGGAUUUAUCGGAAUAUGCUGGUAAAUCUAAGUGUAAACAAUCAUCUACUAUAUAUAAAUUCUGAUUUGUCUGUAGUUGGCUUAAAAGCAGCCAUCUUGUAAUAACAGCGUUAUAGCUUACGGUGAGGCGGUAACUUUAUUUUAGUUUGGUAUUGAAUAACUCUUAUAGAAUUUUAUGUUAAAAUGCGUAGGUUAACUAACUCUUAACACAGAUGUAAGUAAUUUUACUCUUUGUAUUUUGUUCUGGAUAAAGAAUUAAUGUGAAGCUAACAGGAGAGUGUGAUUGAGUUACAUAAUUAGGGGGAAGGAACUCGGCAAACAUGAAGCUCGCCUGUUUAACAAAAACAUCGCCUUUAGACUAAUAUUAAAGGUCUGGUCUGCCCGGUGUAAUUAUUAACGGCGCGUAUUCUGACUGUGCAAAGGUAGCAUAAUCACUUGCCCUUUAAAUGGGGGAAUGUAUGAACGAUUAGACGAGGUUUCGACUGUCUUUCCCCUAAAAACUGAGAUUUCAGUGUCUGUGAAAAUGCGGGCAUGGCUGUAAUGGACGAGAAGACCCUGUUGAGCUUGAAGACUAUAUAUUAGCGUCUGUUAUAAUAAAAUAACUAAUUAUCACCAAACAUGCGUAAUUAAACGGUCUUUUGGCUGGGGUGGCAAGCAAAGGAAUUAAGCUUUGAUAUUAAAAUUUACAUUUUUAGGCUGUUUAUGCCAAGGAAUAUUAAUACAGAUCCGCUAAGAGCGAUUAAUAGAUAAAGUUACCACAGGGAUAACAGCGUAAUUCUUUUUGAGAGCUCAUAUUGACAAAAGGGUUUGCGACCUCGAUGUUGGAUCAAGAUUCCUAAUGGUGUAGCAGCUAUUAUGGGUUUGCCUGUUCGGCGAUUAAAAUCUUACGUGAUCUGAGUUCAGACCGUCGUAAGACAGGUUAGAUUCUAUCCUUACAUUCACAUAUUUAGUACGA
rfam:Branchiostoma floridae mitochondrion, complete genome.